AGAACGAUCACGUGACCACUCCAUCUGUUCGGUAACCCAAGUAUAGUGUUGUAUCUAUUUGUGAACACUGCCUAAAGGAGCAUGAGGUAGAAAACGUAUAAACUGACAAUUUCAAGAUGGGAUCUGUGUAUUGCCGCAGUGAUGGUGUUGGUGGUGGAGGAAGCAUGUUGCCUUUUAAGGAUAACCUAAAGCAGUCAACAAUUUCUACGAAGAUCGAAAACAUCCCAAAGAUCGUUGAACAUUGUGUUUACCAAAUCAUUUAUAUAAAUGACAAAGAAGCUUGGGCCUAAGACAGUUCCUUGGGGUACACCCAGAUGUACCAACGCCUCCUAAGAAUUUUGUUGGUUGUAGGAUUGUAGGAUACAUAUUGCUGCCUUUUAGGAAAAUAAGAAUCCACCAGUAAAACACAAUCCGAGUGGAAUCCAUAAAAAACAAGUUUUUUGAGCAAAAUACUAUUAGAGACAUACUAAAAUGCUUUGGCCAGGUCUAGACAUGAUGCAAAGAUGUCCCAGUCCUCUACUUUCAGUGUCCAAAAGUGAGUUCUCUAUGCCAGAAACAAGUUUAUGCAGCAGAGGAAUGAAUACUCAAAAAAGCAGAAAAUUCUUAAGGACUUGCCAGUCAUGCCAUUAUAAGGUUUUAUUGGGAAGAAUUGCCAACUGCUGAUGGUUUUACUGUUUACUUUAAUUUCAAGUUAAAGCAAUAUUUUUUAUUUUAGUAGUUUAAGUUUAGUUUUAUUUUUAGA